GGUGUCGCUGCAGUAUUCAUAUAUUUAUAACAUUUUUGCAAUUCUUAACACCUUGCCAAAAUCACAGCAUCCACUAGUGGUAUCCCUCACCCCGAGAUACAGUCUGAAGACGAAGAUCUAAUAGGCAAACACACUUUUGUUCAUGCAGGUUCUGUCACA